UACAGAGGGGGCAAGCGUUAUUCGGAAUUAUUGGGCGUAAAGGGCGCGUAGGCGGCUUUGCAAGUGACGGGUGAAAUCCCUCGGCUUAACCGAGGAACUGCCUGUCAGACUGCAUUGCUUGAGUCCGGGAGAGGUGAGUGGAAUUCCCAGUGUAGCGGUGAAAUGCGUAGAUAUUGGGAGGAACACCAGUGGCGAAGGCGACUACCUGGCCUGUUUCUUGACGCUGAGGCGCGAAAGCUAGGGGAGCAAACAGG
rnacentral:rRNA from 1 species